AGCGAACGCUGGCGGCAAGCUUAACACAUGCAAGUCGAACGCCCCGCAAGGGGAGUGGCGGACGGGUGCGUAACACGUGGGAAUCUGCCUUUAGGUAAGGAAUAACUCAGGGAAACUUGAGCUAACACCUUAUAAUGUCUUCGGACCAAAAAUUUAUUGCCUAAAGAUGAGCCCGCGGUAGAUUAGCUAGUUGGUGGGGUAAUGGCCUACCAAGGCGACGAUCUAUAGCUGGUCUUAGAGGAUGAUCAGCCACACUGGGACUGAGACACGGCCCAGACUCCUACGGGAGGCAGCAGUGGGGAAUAUUGGGCAAUGGGCGAAAGCCUGACCCAGCUAUGCCGCGUGAAUGAUGAAGGCCUUAGGGUUGUAAAGUUCUUUUAGAUGGGAAGAUAAUGACGGUACCAUCAGAAAAAGCUCCGGCUAACUUCGUGCCAGCCGCCGCGGUAAUAC
rnacentral:rRNA from 1 species